AGAGCAUCAGUGAUGAAUAUCUCCUAUUUGUUAUCCUUGCACUUUGAUAUCCCAUGAAGAAAUCUUGAGGGGAAGAAAAGAUCUGAGAUGCUU
rnacentral:snoRNA from 1 species